rnacentral:misc_RNA from 1 species
GAUGAAGAACGCAGCGAAAUGCGAUAAGUAAUGUGAAUUGCAGAAUUCAGUGAAUCAUCGAACCUUUGAACGCACAUUGCGCCCCCUGGUAUUCCGGGGGGCAUGCCUGUUCGAGCGUCAUUUCAACCCUCAAGCUCUGCUUGGUAUUGAGUCCAUGUCAGCAAUGGCAGGCUCCAAAAUCAGUGGCGGCGCCGCUGGGUCCUGAACGUAGUAAUAUCUCUCGUUACAGGUGCUCGGCGUGCUUCUGCCAAAACCCCAAUUUUUCUAUGGUUGACCUCGGAUCAGGUAGGGAUACCCGCUGAACUUAAGCAUAUCAAUAAGCGGAGGA